AGUGAACGCUGGCGGUAGGCCUAACACAUGCAAGUCGAACGGCAGCACAGAAAGAGCUUGCUCUUACGGGUGGCGAGUGGCGGACGGGUGAGGAAUACAUCGGAAUCUACUUUUUCGUGGGGGAUAACGUAGGGAAACUUACGCUAAUACCGCAUACGACCUACGGGUGAAAGCAGGGGAUCUUCGGACCUUGCGCGAUUGAAUGAGCCGAUGUCGGAUUAGCUAGUUGGCGGGGUAAAGGCCCACCAAGGCGACGAUCCGUAGCUGGUCUGAGAGGAUGAUCAGCCACACUGGAACUGAGACACGGUCCAGACUCCUACGGGAGGCAGCAGUGGGGAAUAUUGGACAAUGGGCGCAAGCCUGAUCCAGCCAUACCGCGUGGGUGAAGAAGGCCUUCGGGUUGUAAAGCCCUUUUGUUGGGAAAGAAAAGCAGCAGGUUAAUACCCCGCUGUUCUGACGGUACCCAAAGAAUAAGCACCGGCUAACUUCGU
rnacentral:rRNA from 1 species